rnacentral:rRNA from 1 species
UACGUAGGGGGCAAGCGUUGUCCGGAUUUAUUGGGCGUAAAGAGCGUGUAGGCGGCCGCACAGGUCCGUUGUGAAAACUGGAGGCUUAACCUUCAGACGUCGAUGGAAACCGUGCGGCUAGAGUCCGGAAGAGGAGAAUGGAAUUCCCGGUGUAGCGGUGAAAUGCGCAGAUAUCGGGAAGAACACCCGUGGCGAAGGCGGUUCUCUGGGACGGUACUGACGCUGAGACGCGAAAGCGUGGGGAGCGGACAGG